rnacentral:rRNA from 1 species
AGAGUUUGAUCAUGGCUCAGAUUGAACGCUGGCGGCAGGCCUAACACAUGCAAGACGAGCGGAUGAAGGGAGCUUGCUCCUGGAUUCAGCGGCGGACGGGUGAGUAAUGCCUAGGAAUCUGCCUGGUAGUGGGGGAUAACGUCCGGAAACGGGCGCUAAUACCGCAUACGUCCUGAGGGAGAAAGUGGGGGAUCUUCGGACCUCACGCUAUCAGAUGAGCCUAGGUCGGAUUAGCUAGUUGGUGGGGUAAAGGCCUACCAAGGCGACGAUCCGUAACUGGUCUGAGAGGAUGAUCAGUCACACUGGAACUGAGACACGGUCCAGACUCCUACGGGAGGCAGCAGUGGGGAAUAUUGGACAAUGGGCGAAAGCCUGAUCCAGCCAUGCCGCGUGUGUGAAGAAGGUCUUCGGAUUGUAAAGCACUUUAAGUUGGGAGGAAGGGCAGUAAGUUAAUACCUUGCUGUUUUGACGUUACCAACAGAAUAAGCACCGGCUAACUUCGUGCCAGCAGCCGCGGUAAUACGAAGGGUGCAAGCGUUAAUCGGAAUUACUGGGCGUAAAGCGCGCGUAGGUGGUUCAGCAAGUUGGAUGUGAAAUCCCCGGGCUCAACCUGGGAACUGCAUCCAAAACUACUGAGCUAGAGUACGGUAGAGGGUGGUGGAAUUUCCUGUGUAGCGGUGAAAUGCGUAGAUAUAGGAAGGAACACCAGUGGCGAAGGCGACCACCUGGACUGAUACUGACACUGAGGUGCGAAAGCGUGGGGAGCAGACAGGAUUAGAUACCCUGGUAGUCCACGCCGUAAACGAUGUCGACUAGCCGUUGGGAUCCUUGAGAUCUUAGUGGCGCAGCUAACGCGAUAAGUCGACCGCCUGGGGAGUACGGCCGCAAGGUUAAAACUCAAAUGAAUUGACGGGGGCCCGCACAAGCGGUGGAGCAUGUGGUUUAAUUCGAAGCAACGCGAAGAACCUUACCUGGCCUUGACAUGCUGAGAACUUUCCAGAGAUGGAUUGGUGCCUUCGGGAACUCAGACACAGGUGCUGCAUGGCUGUCGUCAGCUCGUGUCGUGAGAUGUUGGGUUAAGUCCCGUAACGAGCGCAACCCUUGUCCUUAGUUACCAGCACCUCGGGUGGGCACUCUAAGGAGACUGCCGGUGACAAACCGGAGGAAGGUGGGGAUGACGUCAAGUCAUCAUGGCCCUUACGGCCAGGGCUACACACGUGCUACAAUGGUCGGUACAAAGGGUUGCCAAGCCGCGAGGUGGAGCUAAUCCCAUAAAACCGAUCGUAGUCCGGAUCGCAGUCUGCAACUCGACUGCGUGAAGUCGGAAUCGCUAGUAAUCGUGAAUCAGAAUGUCACGGUGAAUACGUUCCCGGGCCUUGUACACACCGCCCGUCACACCAUGGGAGUGGGUUGCUCCAGAAGUAGCUAGUCUAACCGCAAGGGGGACGGUUACCACGGAGUGAUUCAUGACUGGGGUGAAGUCGGAACAAGGUAGCCGUAGGGGAACCUGCGGCUG